GGUCGCCCGGCUGCGCGGCGGGGGCGGGCCGACGGCGGCCGCCGCGCCAGGCCUCACAAAGAGCAAACAGCCCCGCGCGUCCGCCCGCGGUCCCAGCGCCGGGGCCCACCCUGAAGGAUCUGGGGCGGCCGCUCUGGGACCCCGGGAAGAGCGCGGCGAGGAAGAGGCACUUCCUGCCUGGGCCCCCCACCCUGGGCCGAUUCCCGAGUGCCUCGAAGCCGCCCGACCCGAACGGGCGCCUCAGUCCCCACCGGCCCCGAGUCCAGCCCCUCCCGCGGGACUCACCCUGAGCGGCGGUGAGAUCCGCGGCUGCCAGCGGCUUGUCGCUCUUCAGCUGGCGGCCAAUGUAGUCAGUCUGGGGACCCACCUCCCCCUUUCAGCUGAGCGCACACAACACAGCAUCCACGUGAGUCAGCUUCUUAAAGGCGAAGGCUUGGCCUGUCUAAUUGCGGCAGCUGCGAGACAUCGCACGUCAUUAGCGUCACCAGGUAGCGGCUGGAGCCGAGCUUCCUGAUACCUAGUGAGCCGCGGUGAUGACAAAUGAAAACAAUAAGCUGUUUCCUAGACAAACAGCUGCCUAGUUUCGCUCUGUCGCCCAGGCUGGAGUGCAGUGGCACAAUCUCGGUUCACUGCAACCUCUGCCUCCCGGGUUCAAGCAGUUCUCUUGCCUCAGCCUCCCAAGUAACUGGUACUACAGAGAAUUGAUACAAAAAAUGAUCAUGUGAAGAAUUUGCAUCUUCUGCAGAACUACCGGUAUCAGUCAGCAGUAGGAGAUUGCCAGACACGGUGGCUCACGCCUAUAAUCCUAGCACUUUGGGAGGCUGAGGUGUGUGGAUCACUUGAGCCCAGGAGUUCAAGACCAGCCUGAGCAACAUGGUGAAACCCCAUCUCUGCAAAAAAUACAAAAAUUAGCCAGGCGUGGUGGUGUGUACCUGUGGUCCCAGCUGCUGGGAAGGCUGAGGUGGGAGGAACAUUUGAGCCCAGAAGUUGAGCCGUGAUCACGCCACUGCACUCCAGCCUGGAUGACACAGCAAGACCUUGUCUCAAAAAAUAAAAUAAAAUAAAUUUUAAAAAAUCUUGGUUAUUCCCUCUGGUUCUCCUGGAGGCAUGAAGAUCAGUCCAGAAGUGGAUGCGGUGAUCUAGGUAUAAAUUCAGCCUGAGAUUCCAGAAUAUUCUGUGUAUUGACCACCACAGCAAGAAGAAAAAGUCCAUGUAGGACUGAAAUGUGCUGGCACCAAGAAAAUGCAUACACCCUGUGGGCAGCUCACUUUGAAGAGAGAGAGGAGAAGAAAGGGCUGGGCUGCCCCUACUCAAGCUCUUCUUCCAAAAGCAGUACUCAGAUGGGUCACUCCAUAAUUCCCAGGGUCCAGUCAGGGAGCGGUGGGGAGAGGCUGGAGUGGCCUACUAAGGGAGAGCCCUGUUAACAGAGCCUCCUACACAAGGAAGAAUCACUAGGAGAGGGGAAGGAACGUGCGAGGCCCCUGCCAACUCCUCUUCCAUACUCGUUCGUUUGCGCAUUCAACACACUUUUGAGCACCUUCUUUUCCUCUGUGCUCUGUGACAGGAAUUCAAACAUGAAACUAGAUGUGGCCUUGGCUUUCAGAGAAGUCAUUCCCUUAGUAGUGAAUACUAGUUCCCUGAAGUUUAACAUUGGAGGAGAAGGAGUUAUUAAACACCCAUUCUAAGCAAGAACAUCAGUAGCCUACAAAGGGCCUUUUUUCACACUUUGAGUCUGUUGAAGAAAACUCACAGUUGGUAUCACUUGCUUUAAAAGUGCCCCCCACUCUGCCUUGUACGGUCCGGAUUGCUGUGAGGCCAUGACAAGGAACCAAGUUCUGUUUUUCUGUGAAGAGAAUGGAAUAAUCAUUUACCUCUUUCCUGUGGCUGCCAGCUGGUCCCUUCACUCAGUCACUCCCUGUUUCUCCUUCCUCCCUUUCCUCUCCCCUUCCAGUACACAGAAUCCCUUCUCCAUAUCCCCCCAUGAUGAAGGACCACCAGUCAUUGGCUCACCUCUCUUCCAAAAUUCCAAUGACUAGAGUCUUUCUCAGAGUAUGUAUAACUGAUGUCACAGACCCCUGAGUCUGGAAGAGUCUAAGUAAAAGUGGGUGUUGACCUGAAUGUAAGUUAGUUUUCUAUUGUCUUAGUUUUUGCUCCCC
rnacentral:lncRNA from 1 species